rnacentral:lncRNA from 1 species
GCACUCUUUCCCCUCAUCACUCCUAGGGUGAUGUCGAUCAGCACAAGGCGUCUGUGAGCUGAUGUAUAAGAUAGUUGGUACGCUUUCCUCCGAGCGCACUGUGGUGCUACUCCGCGAAGCUGCAUCAGCAGCAGUUCAAAAAGAUGUGUGUAAAAAAUGUGGUUUAAUUUUUGGCCAUAUCAUCCAGCUCUAGUUGUUUAUUAGUGUUAAAUCAGUUUUAAAUACUGAUCUAUAGAAGGUAAGCCCAUACUUUGUAUCCUUUGAAUGGGGACAUGGAGGGGAAACCUAAAUCCUAGAAAGAUUGACCUGUUAUAAAUACAUAUUUUAAAAUAUUCAAUUAUAAAGGGUCAUGGGGUCUUUGAACAGGGAUAAGGAGGGGAAACCUAAAAUCUGGAAAGCCUGACCAGCCUACAGACUAUGUGGUGUGUAAGAGAGAGAGAGACUGUAUAUGACAAAGAGAGAGAAAGAGAGCAAGAGAGAGAGAGAGAGAGAGCAUACCAUUUUGAGAGAGAGCAUGUAUGUGACUGUGUGUUAUUAUUGUGAUUCUAAAAGCAUGCUUGGUUAUCAAUAUCCAUUUUAAAAUAUUGAUUUAUAAAGGGUCAACGUGGCCAUGUGGCCUUUGAAUGGGGACGAGGAGGGGAAACCUAAAACCUGGAAAGCUUGACCAGCCUACAGACCAUGUGGUGUGUAAGAGAGAGUGUGUGAGAUAGUAGAGAAAGUAGAGUGUGUGUGUGUGUGUGUUAGUGUGUGUGCGCGCGUGUGUGUUAGUGGUGUGGGGGUGUCAGAACCAGGCCAGUGGAGCCCCUGAGUGACUCACAGCUCUGGCAUGCACUUACUAGAGCCCCCAGCAGCUCUAGUGCUCUCUCUCUCUCUCUCUCUCUCUCUUUCUCUCUCCCUCUUUCUUUUUUUUUUUUGCUCAUUCUCCUUCACUCUCCCCUAGAAGCACUCUUCUGCAAGAGUGUGGGCCUGGAGCACAUCUUUUGUGCACUAUAUUCCACUUUUUACCAAUCCGGACUCUCCUCUAGAGAGAGUGAGACAGAAUGUUCCAAGACAAAACUGAGGGGGAAAAGGAAGGAGUUCACACUAUUUUCCAGCGUUUGGCGCCGGAAGCACAGCUCUCCAUCCUCUGGACUACGUUACCCAGAACGCACCACGCACUGACGUCACUUUCUAACGCGACCACAAGUCCCUGCACAUGACACCUCCAAGAUGCUCUGAUACUGGAAUUGUAGAUCUGAUGCUGAUGCUGAGUUCCUUUUAUAAAGGUAUUUUCUGCUGAUGCAUAAACUGUACAUAAGUAGGGCGUACAUCCACUGGAAUCAGCAUUACAGAUAUACUAACAGAUAACAGUAGAGUUCUG